CGGUGGAUGGGCCACUACUAACUGUUGUAGGUUAAAAGUUGGGCAGGUAGGAUAUAGAAGGAAAUUUAAAUUAUAUCAGUUGUACGAAACGAUAAAUCAUUAUUGUUAACAAAAAACCGAUUCAGGGCGAAGUUUUUUUUAUACGUGUACGUGCAUUUUCCCAUUUUCCCUACAUUUUGCCCAAUUGUUAUGAAAAUAGCUGGGAAAAUCAAAAAUUACCUCCCUAAAAAGUGCCACCCAGAUAAAAUUUAAUUUCAGAAAAGGUACUACACUUGAAAAUCGGAGUCUGACAGAAAGAUGUCUGGUAGAAAAGCUGUUUACAUAUAAAAAAAAUAAAAUAAACAUCAUUGUAAAACCAAUACAUUCCUCGCUCCGAAUUUAAAAUACGAAAUAUUUCAACGGUUCGAAUAUUUUUUUUUAUCGCGUUUUAGAAGUGUACAAACUAAUAUAUUAUCAUUAUGUGCAUUGAGAGCACGCGUUUUUUCGGUUCACAAAAUAAAAAAACAAUUUUCGACGGUUACGGAUUUAUUCAUUGAUAAAAUCGUAUUUAUCAUCCACACGUCCUGUGCUCGAUAUAUUAUAGAAUUGUAAUCGGCAUAUUUCGACUUUUUGUAUAUUAAAUCCUAUAAUGUAUGCGUAUUCCUAUGCAGUACCUGGUAUUUUAAAUUGUGUAUAAAAUAAUGACUUUUGUGAACAUUAUAUUAGUUGUAUUUUUUUUCAUUUUUAAAGGAUAUCCGUAGAUAUAAUAAAAUUGUAUUGGACGGUCAACGUACAAAGCCUAAAUUUAACGAAAAUAUGUAAUUUUUUUUCAUUACUUCCAUAUACUAGUAUAAAUGUCGAACGAAUAACACAUCAUAAUAAUAUUAUUAUUAUGACUUAAAUUCGUAUGAAACGGUCAUGACCGAUUUUCUCGUUCGAAAACCAGUGACGUUAAAGUACUCUCGUUUUUCUUUCUUUAAACGCUCUAACGCCUUGUUAUUGUCGCCGAUCUUCUGCCUUGCGCCUUUGGUGUCUCGUAAGAUCAGAUUAGGUUAUAGAUUUUUUUUUAGGUUUUCCUUUGCCUCGCCCGAAACCCACCGCGACGACGUUUAGAAAUUCUUCAAGUCGUACC